ACCCAAACCCUAGAAACUCCUUUCUUCUAUCUUCUCCCUCACCUUUCAACCGCUGCCAUUGCCACCACCGUGCUCUGCCGCCAAUGGCGGUCAAACACUUUUCACCCUCUCCUCAUCUCAACCUCAUCUUUUCAAAUCUAACCCCCAAAUUUCCUAAAUUUCUCUCCACCCUCACGAAUCCUAUUUUGGCCGAAACCCUAGCCCCAAAUGCUUUUGAAAUUAGUCAAUUUCUAGCCAUCUCCAUCUCAUUAUACACACAUAUUUGGAUACAACUCUUGAAGAACUACUGAUUUAUGUUAGUUUCAAACCGAUACUUCAACCCGGCGCCGCCGUCCACCACCCCAUUGCCGUCCCACCACCUUCACUAUCGGACGACUGCACCAUUGACCCUCCCUUUUUUAACCAUCUUCGACUUAAAGACCCUCAUUUCUUUCGGGUAUGACGCUGAAAUUCAUUCAUUUUAGCAUCUGCCGAAAUGAAGCGAGCAUUCCAAGGUUGGAUAGCCACUACUCGAGGUUCUCAAAAUCAUCUCGCUGCUCGAAUCGAUAACGAAUGCCUUUGUUGGGGUGGUAAAAAGGGGCGUGACAGCUUCGGCGACUUCGCUGGGGACCUAUAAGAAUUCGAGCUUGUACAUUGAUUAAUUUUGGCUUUUAGUAUUUUUGGAUAUUACUGUUUAUGUGAGCCUAAUGCGCUAAUUGUCACUCAUUUACUACUUUGAUAUUAUUUGAACUGUAUAUAUAAACUGUCUUCUCUCGGACCC